AGUUUCUUUUCCUUCAUGAAUUAUGUUAAUUGAGAAUGUUUCACUGAAAAAUUGCACAUUUAGCUGACAUUACUGGUAAAAAAAUAUAUAUACAUGCAGAGAGUCUAUGUAGGAAAGCAAUGUUUUAUCAAUCAGAGUCAGGAAUUCAACCAAAUCAAAAAGUAGAUGUUUAGUACCUGGCAUGCAGAGAAGGAGGACCACCAACCCGGUCUUCAGACUCAUAUUGGAGUAAGUGAACAAGUAGAAAUGUGUGCGUCCACAGGUCGCAAGAAGGAAGUGGUCAUGACGUUCAAUAAGAUAAAGAAGAAGAAGUGGCCUUCUUCUUCUUUAUCUUAUUGACAUGCAGGAAUAAAACCCACUCAUGAAAUGCACUUUUCUGUGUUAUUUUCGUUGCAGGUUCCUCUAAGAACUUCAACGCACUUUUAAAAACAUGCCUGAGGCGUUAAUGCGGGGGUCAGCAACCCGCGGCUCUAGAGCAACAUGCGGCUCUUGAGCGGCGCCCUGGUGGCUCCAUGGAGCCUUUUUCGAAAAAAUGUAUUAAAAUGGGGAAAAAAUGUAUUGAAAAUGAUGUUUUUUUGUUGUGAUCUGGUUUCUGUAGGAGCACAAACACGACACUGUCAAGACGUGGACUAUGGUGCGGUUUGUUUUCCCGUGGUGCAAAGCGACUUGACUGGACACGACGUGAAGCUGGUUCUCCACAGUACACAAAUACUCUGCUGAGUCUGAACACUUGAUGGACUUGAAGACCAGUUGUCGACCUUUACUGAGGACUUCAUCAUCUGAAGACACAUUCUUCUUCUUGUACCAGCAGUAAUCAUCUGUUGCUGAGGAGUAGUCGAAGUUGUCGAUGUCGCAGCACAGACAAAACAUGAGUCAGCAAAUGUCAGGACUUGGACUUGGACGUGGAUUGUUUUCCCGAGGUGCCAAGCAAAUGGAGUGGAAACGGCGUGAAGGUGAAGACAUCUUUUUAUUUUGACGAUAUAAAAACCUACAAAACAGGCAAACAAAAGGCGCUCCCAAUGGGCGUACAAAACUUAGCUAUUAAAAACAAAAACGUGCACUAAGACAAAACUAUGGGCAUGAUCUAAAACUUGCACGAUUGCAGAACUAUGAAUAACCAAAACGAUAACACUCACUGUGACCGAAACAAGGGGCAUGGAUCAUUGGCAUGGAUCAUUAAAAGGUGCGUAGCAGGUGAAGGAGCUGAUGUUGCCAGAAUGAACAGACAGGCUUAAAUAAUACUGUGGUGAUUAGUGAAACAGGUGUGAAACAUGAGGACAGGGGCGUGACAUGAGGACAAGGUGAAAACUAAUGAGUUGGCAUGGUAAUAAGACAAACAUAGAAGUGCAAAAACUAGAAAAAAUGGAGUCUUAAAGGGGAACAUUAUCAGCAGACCUAUGUAAGCGUCAAUAUAUACCUUGAUGGUGCAGAAAAAAGACCAUCUAUUUUUUUAACCGAUUUCCGAACUCUAAAUGGGUGAAUUUUGGCGAAUUAAACGCCUUUCUAUUUAUCGCUCUCGGAGCAAUGACGUCAGAACGUGACGUCACCUAGUUAGUCAAUCGACCAUUUUGUCAAACAUAUUAUACACAUCGAGCCAAAUCAGCUCUGUUAUUUUACAAUUUUUCGACUGUUUUCCGUACCUUGGAGACAUCAUGCCUCGUCAGUGUGUUGUCGGAGGGUGUUACAACACUAACAGGGACAUAUUCAAGUUGAUUUACGUAGAAUGCUAAUCGAUGCUAACAUGCUAUUUACCGGCGAUGCUAAGACAGACAUGGCACAGAGAUGUAUGGAUAACCUGCAGAUGCAUUUUCAACGAUAAAGGCAAAGAAAUCACACAGGUGAGUGUUGUUGAUGUUAUUGACUUAUGUGCUAAUCAGACACAUUUGGUCGCGGCAUGACUGCCAGCUAAUCGAUGCUAACAUGCUAUUUUGGCUAGCUGUAUG